rnacentral:RNase_P_RNA from 1 species
GCGGAUGGCCGAAUGAUCGCCUUUGGUCGCCUUUCGGGGUGGUCUGGGAGGAAAGUCCGGACUCCAUGAGACAACGGUGCCGGGUAACGCCCGGCCGGGGUAACCCGAGGGAUAGCGCCACAGAGAACAGACCGCCCCGGAUCUGAUCCGGGGUAAGGGUGAAACGGUGGGGUAAGAGCCCACCGCGGCCUUGGCAACAAGGGCGGCACGGCAAGCCCCACCGGGAGCAAUGCCAAAUAGGGGUUUCGCGCCGGGUUGAUCCGCUAAGGAUAUCGCCACGGCAGGGUUGUUUCAGCCCGAGAAAUCCGGGUUGGCAGCUAGAUCUUGUCGGCAACGGCAGGAGCAGAUGAAUGAUCAUUCAGGCCGGGGAAACUCGGCUGGACAAAAUCCGGCUUACAGGCUGUCCGCGCAA